AUGGAUUGGCGACCCAUGGAAAUCUGCGACAACAAUAAAGAUCCAAGUGGACCAAUGUACUACAAUGGCAUCUACCAUGAGUUCUACCAGUAUAACCCCGAUGGCUCCAACAGUCCAAGUCUCUCCUAUAACAUAGUUUGCGGCCAUUCAGUUUCAACAGACCUUGUCAACUGGAUCGGUCUUGAACCCGUACUAGUACCGGAUACCCCAAGUGACAUAUGCGGUUGCUGGACCGGCUCAGCCACAAUUCUACCUGGUAAUCGACCGGCCAUCAUAUACACUGGUCUCAUCAACAUGGAGAAGCAUCAGGUCCAAAACAUUGCGCUUCCCAAAAACCAGUCUGAUCCGUACCUGAGGGAAUGGACCAAAGCAGGCAAUAACCCAGUGAUCCAACCGGUCAUGCCAGGCUUGAACUCGAGCCAGUUCAGGGAUCCGACAACCGGUUGGAUCGGACCAGAUGGACUAUGGAGAAUAGCAGUUGGUGCUGAUCUGAACGGCUCCAGUACUGCACUUCUGUACAAGAGUGAAGACUUCUUGAAUUGGACCAGAGUUGAACACCCAUUGUAUUCAUCCAAGUCCUUUGACAUGUGGGAGUGCCUGGAUUUCUUCGCGGUAUUGUCGGGAAGUAACGGUGGACUGGACAUGUCUUCAGCAAUCCCUAAUGGCGCCAAGCACGUCCUCAAAAUGGGCAUGGAUUACAGUGACAAGUACAUGAUUGGGGUUUAUGAUCUCAAACGUGAUGUCUUUGUGCCAGAUACUGUCAUAGAUGACUAUCGGCUAUGGCUGAGGAUCGACUAUGGCAAUUUCUAUGCUUCAAAAUCGUUCUUUGACUCCAAACAUGGAAGGAGGAUCAUAUGGGCUUGGAGCAACGAGACAGAUACUUCUUCAGAUGAUGUUGCAAAAGGCUGGGCAGGAAUCCAUUCAAUCCCCAGGACAAUUUGGUUAGACAGCGACGGCAAGCAGUUGUUGCAAUGGCCAGUUGAAGAGAUUGAGUCCCUUCGAAGAAAUGAAAUCAACCAUCAAGGACUAGAGCUGAACAAGGGAGACCUAUUUGAGAUUAAGGGAAUUGACACUUUGCAGGCUGAUGUCGAGAUAGAUUUUGAGCUGACAUCCAUCGAUGACGCGGAACCUUUUGAUCCUUCCUGGCUUUUAGACGCCCCGAAGCAGUGCCGGGAAGCUGAUGCAUCGGUUCAUGGUGGCAUAGGGCCAUUCGGACUUGUUAUUCUGGCCUCCGACAACAUGGAGGAGCACACUGAUGUGCACUUCAGGGUUUACAAAUCACAGCAAAACUACAUGAUCCUCAUGUGCACUGACCUAAGAAGGUCUUCCCUGAGACCAGGACUAUACACACCAGCCUAUGGAGGCUUCUUUGAACUUGACCUUGAAAAAGAAAGGAAAGUCUCUAUCAGAACUCUGAUUGAUCGGUCGGCAGUGGAGAGCUUUGGCGGCGGUGGCAGAGGCUGCAUCAUGGCUAGAGUUUACCCAGUGUCACUUGUCGACGACGACCACCAGCCCCACAUGUACUCCCUCAGUUCCAAAAUAGAUGACCCAACUUUGUACUAA
rnacentral:rRNA from 1 species